UGUUUAAUACGGUUCCGGAAAAAUCCAGUCAGAAGUUGUUCACGGAGUUUUCACAAUAACUGCUUCUCAUGAACCGAAGCUGGAUUUGCACGACGUCUCCUCUUGAAAGUUGGAUUACUGUGCACUUCUGGAUCACAGGCUAUUCGCAGCUGGACACAUCCUUCUACACUGUAUGCAAACAUGCAACAUCAUUACACACAGUACAAGGAGUCAGACUGGCAUAUGAGGAGCAAAGGAACCCAGGCAGUAGCAUCGUUUCACAAUGUUUCCAUCACCAUCAUCAGUGGAUGCCUUUGCCGUCCGUAGCCUGAGAUUUCAGAUUUGCAGCAAAAAAAUUUUGAUUUUCUCAUUUAUUGGAAUGCUGUGCAGGUAUUUGUACCUUGCAGCCAUCCAUUACAAUGUCACCAAGCCGUAACAAAAGCAGGAGAGGGAAAGUACAAGGCUAUGUUCCCAAAACACAC